CCUACGGGAGGCAGCAGUGGGGAAUCUUGCGCAAUGGGCGAAAGCCUGACGCAGCCACGCCGCGUGAGGGAUGAAGGCUUUCGGGUUGUAAACCUCUUUCAGCAGGGACGAAAAUGACGGUACCUGCAGAAGAAGCUCCGGCCAACUACGUGCCAGCAGCCGCGGUAAUA
rnacentral:rRNA from 1 species